AUUGAACGCUGGCGGCAUGCUUUACACAUGCAAGUCGAACGGCAGCGGGGGCUUCGGCCUGCCGGCGAGUGGCGAACGGGUGAGUAAUGCAUCGGAACGUGCCCAUGUCGUGGGGGAUAACGUAGCGAAAGCUACGCUAAUACCGCAUACGUCCUGAGGGAGAAAGCGGGGGAUCUUUGGACCUCGCGCGAUUGGAGCGGCCGAUGUCGGAUUAGCUAGUAGGUGAGGUAAAGGCUCACCUAGGCGACGAUCCGUAGCGGGUCUGAGAGGACGACCAGCCACACUGGAACUGAGACACGGUCCAGACUCCUACGGGAGGCAGCAGUGGGGAAUUUUGGACAAUGGGGGGCAACCCUGAUCCAGCCAUUCCGCGUGAGUGAAGAAGGCCU
rnacentral:rRNA from 1 species